UUUGGUGGCGAUAGCGAAGAGGUCACACCCGUUCCCAUACCGAACACGGAAGUUAAGCUCUUCAGCGCCGAUGGUAGUCGGGGGUUUCCCCCUGUGAGAGUAGGACG
rnacentral:rRNA from 1 species